rnacentral:rRNA from 1 species
UACGUAGGUGACCAGCGUUGUCCGGAUUUACUGGGCGUAAAGAGCGCGCAGGCGGUCGUUCAAGUCGAGUGUGAAAGCCCCCGGCUCAACUGGGGAGGGUCAUUCGAUACUGAUCGACUUGAAGGCAGGAGAGGGAAGCGGAAUUCCCGGUGUAGUGGUGAAAUGCGUAGACAUCGGGAGGAACACCAGUGGCGAAGGCGGCUUCCUGGCCUGUUCUUGACGCUGAGGCGCGAAAGCUAGGGGAGCAAACGGG